rnacentral:rRNA from 1 species
AGAACGAACGCUGGCGGCAGGCUUAACACAUGCAAGUCGAACGCCCCGCAAGGGGAGUGGCAGACGGGUGAGUAACACGUGGGAACAUACCCUUUGGUUCGGAAUAACUCAGGGAAACUUGAGCUAAUACCGGAUAAGCGCGAGAGCGGAAAGAUUUAUCGCCGAAGGAUUGGCCCGCGUCCGAUUAGCUAGUUGGUGAGGUAAUGGCUCACCAAGGCGACGAUCGGGUAGCUGGUCUGAGAGGAUGAUCAGCCACACUGGGACUGAGACACGGCCCAGACUCCUACGGGAGGCAGCAGUGGGGAAUAGUUGGACAAUGGGCGCAAGCCUGAUCCAGCCAUGCCGCGUGAGUGAUGAAGGCCCUAGGGUUGUAAAGCUCUUUCGCCUAGGGACGAUAAGUGACGGUACCUGGAAUAAGAACGCCCCGGAUAACGUUCGUGCCAGCAGCCGC